AUUUAGAUAGUUUAAUUAAAAAUAUUGAUUUGUGGUAUCAGUGAUAUAAGAUUUCUUAUUUUAAAUA
rnacentral:tRNA from 1 species